CACUUUGCCUGGUGCUUGCUGAUGGAAUCCAAGGCCUGACACCAUUAUGAAGACGAAGUUUACACACCAAGUGGCAGGCCAAUUAAGUCACAAACAUAUGGAGUCAAAACCAUUGGGCACAAGAACUUGGAAGCAGCUUCCAAGUCAAGGACUGCUUGUGAGCCAGGUACAGACAACUCCAAGGAAGCAGGGACAGUGGGAACUACAAAUUGGAAGGGGCCUAGGUCCCUAAAUGACAAAGUGGAUGAAUGACCGCUGGCUAAGGACACCUACUUGAACUGUUACUUGAGCAAGAAAUGAACUUCUGUUGUGACCUGUGAUGGAAAUCUAGAGUAUUUGGGUGAAGACAGAACCAGAUCUUUACAGACAAAGGCAUUAUUUCAAAUGGAUCACUUUAAAGACUGUCUGGCAGUGUCUACAGAAAACCGGAAUAUCUAGAUAAGGAGUACAAAGCCAUAAAAAUGCCAGAAUGAUGCCAAGGUUUCUGACGUUUCCAAAUAUCCAAGUGUUUGUACAGAUGUUUCCAAAUAUGUAGAUGUAGAUGUUGUCAGUUACGUUGACAAAACUCAGAUAAGUACUGGUCUUUUUAUUUUUAGUAUAGUUAUUUUUAGUACAAAAGUCUGCCAAUGUUUAGUAGUGAUGAUAGGGUAACUGCUUCAAAUGCUUGACCCCAGGAAGGGCCUAUGUGUUCAGGAAGGGCUUCAGAAAGCUGCUUAUCCUUUCAGGAUUCUAUGGGUUCCAUUUCCCCUGUCACUCAAAGCCCAGUAAGUUCUACAAACAGUCCUGAGCUAUAGCUGUGCCAGAGAAGACAGGAUAUGCUGAUAGGAGAAGCCAGCAUAGCCAAAUCUGAGCAUCCAGUAGGGCUCAAUAAGUAUGUGAAAAACUGGCAAUCAGAAGAGAAUGUUCCCAGACUCCUUUUACCACAGCUGCCCACUUUCCAGCAUCUAAAGCUGCAUGUUAAUAUAGAUGAUUUUCCUGUCAAAACCAAUCCUUCUGCUUUGCACUGCAGUCCCUCCCCUCUUACCACUUAGGACAUUGUCCCAACAGCUGUCCCCUCUCCUACCCUGGAAAGUUUUCUCUCUUUCUUCAGGACCCUUAUCACAACAUGCUAUGUGGUCUCCCAGUCUUUAAUGUUUACACACACACACACACACACACACACACACGUGCGCGCGCAUGCUGCACCUUCCUUGGCUAACUGCUGCCAUACUUAUUUUAGAACAAAUGCCUCCAAGAUUUGUCUGUACCCACAUCUCCCAGCUGUAUCCUGAUUAGGCUUCUAGUUCUGCCCACUCCAUCAAAUCUGUUCUUACCAGUCAAUUCCACCCACCAAUCCUGGGUCCUCAUCAUCAUAAUCUCUUGGUAACAUUGUACUCCUUGGGUAACUCCCUCCUCAUCUUCUAUCUUCUCCACUUGGCCUCUAGGACAGCUGUGACCUGCCCCCUGUCAUGUGUUUUUCCCCGAUAAAUUCAGGGUCCCAUGUCACCCCACCAGGGCCACUACCUCUCCAACCUCACCUUCUCCCCCUCCCCCUGUAUCCUUGGCUCCAGCCUUGCUGCCCUGCCUGGCUCUGAGGCCCUGGCUUCCUCCUGCUUACAGCCACUUCCCUGUUAUCUUAUGUCCCACUUCUUUACUCCUUCAAGACUUUGAUCACUGUCACCCUCUCAGUCGCACCUACUCUGAUUGCCCUUCUUAAAAUUCCACACUGUGUCCCCUGAAUUCUUGAAAAUCCUCACUCUCCUCUACACAUUCUUUAUGCAUAAAAAAAGGACCAGAAGGAUGAUGCCAAAAAGCUAAUAAUGGUUCUCCUGGUAUUGUGAUAUGAGUGAUUUUUAUUCUCUCCUCUAUGUAUU